AGGAUAAUAGUCUAUAAAUAAAUAUUUGAUUUGCAUUCAAAAGAUGUUGAAUUUUCAACUUAUCUUA
rnacentral:tRNA from 1 species